rnacentral:rRNA from 1 species
UGCCAGCCGCCGCGGUAAUACGAAGGGUGCUAGCGUUGUUCGGAAUUAUUGGGUUUAAAGGGUGCGCAGGCGGAGAAUUAAGUCAGUGGUGAAAUCCUGCAGCUUAACUGUAGAACUGCCAUUGAUACUGAUUUUCUUGAAUUCAUAUGAGGUAGGCGGAAUGUGUAAUGUAGCGGUGAAAUGCUUAGAUAUUACACAGAACACCGAUUGCGAAGGCAGCUUACUAAAUUGACAUUGACGCUGAGGCACGAAAGCGUGGGGAGCGAACAGGAUUUGAUA